rnacentral:rRNA from 1 species
CCUACGGGAGGCAGCAGUGGGGAAUAUUGCACAAUGGGCGCAAGCCUGAUGCAGCCAUGCCGCGUGUGUGAAGAAGGCCUUAGGGUUGUAAAGCACUUUCAGCGAGGAGGAAGGGUUCAGUGUUAAUAGCACUGUGCAUUGACGUUACUCGCAGAAGAAGCACCGGCUAACUCCGUGCCAGCAGCCGCGGUAAU